rnacentral:sRNA from 1 species
ACUGGGCAUGGUGGCACAUGCCUGUAAUCCCAGCAAUUUGGGAGGCUGAGGCAGGAGGAUUGCAGGUUCAAAGCCAGCCUGAGCAAUUUAGUAAGGCCCUAAGCAACUCAGUGAGACUCUGUCUCUA